rnacentral:rRNA from 1 species
UACGGAGGGUGCAAACGUUGCUCGGAAUCAUUGGGCGUAAAGCGCACGUAGGCGGUCCGUUAAGUCGGAUGUGAAAGCCCCGGGCUCAACCCGGGAAGUGCAUACGAAACUGGCGGACUUGAAUAUGGAAGAGGGUCGCGGAAUUCCCGGUGUAGAGGUGAAAUUCGUAGAUAUCGGGAGGAACACCAGUGGCGAAGGCGGCGACCUGGGCCAAUAUUGACGCUGAGGUGCGAAAGCGUGGGGAGCAAAC